rnacentral:rRNA from 1 species
AGGGUGUAAACGCUGCAGACUUGGUGUUGGAAGCCCUUUGGGGGCAUUCAGUGCCGGAGAGAAGUUGUUAAGUCCGCUACUUGGGGAGUACGUCCGCAAGGAUGAAACUUAAAGGAAUUGGCGGGGGGAGGCACCGCAACGGGAGGAGCGUGCGGUUUAAUUGGAUUCAACACCGUAAACUCACCAGGGAGACUGUUACAUGAAGGCCGAGAUGAAGACUCUGCCAGAUUUUCAGAGAGGUGGUGCAUGGCGUCAGUGACU